rnacentral:rRNA from 1 species
UACGUAGGUGACGAGCGUUGUCCGGAUUAUUGGGCGUAAAGCGCGCGCAGGUGGUUUCUUAAGUCUGAUGUGAAAGCCCACGGCUCAACCGUGGAGGGUCAUUGGAAACUGGGGAACUUGAGUGCAGAAGAGGAAAGUGGAAUUCCAAGUGUAGCGGUGAAAUGCGUAGAGAUUUGGAGGAACACCAGUGGCGAAGGCGACUUUCUGGUCUGUAACUGACACUGAGGCGCGAAAGCGUGGGGAGC